GGGACGCCUUCCCAGAAAAAAAAAUAAAAUAGCCGUCCCAGACGUCAUAAUUAUUUGGACUACCCAAUUAUGAUCAAUUAUUCCAUUCAUUUAUUGUUUAUUGUGAAUAAUUACAAACUGCGCUGAAGUUUUAAAGAUUAUUGGAUAAUUGACUUGUUCUAUAGGUACAUGUACCUAACUUACCGGGUGACAAUACAAGUUGUACCCUAAUAUUGCCUAUUGGUAUAAAUUUAAAUGCUUAGUGAUAUAUAAAAAAGAAGAUGUGGUAUGAUUGCCAUUAUGGACUUUGCUCAUGGUUGAAGGGUUGUACACUGACCUAUAGUUGUUAAUGUCUGUGUCAUUUAAGUCUCCUGUGGAUAGUUGUCUCAUUGGGCCAAUGGGACAACUGUCCACAAGAGACCAAAAUGGCCAAUGAGACAAGAGACCAAAAUGACUGGGACAUUAAAUAACAACUAUAUAGGUCACCAUACAGCCUUCAACAAUGAGCAAAGCCCAUACCGCAUAGUCAGCUAUAACAGGCCCCGAUAAGACAAUGUAAAACAAUUCAAAAGAGAAAACUUAAGAUAUGUGCAUUGUUCGUAUUAUUGUGUAUAUGAAGAUUAAUAAGAUUAAAGUAAACAAUGUGGUAUGUUUCCAAAAUAAAAGCUAUCCAACAAUGACAAACUGAUGUCGAUGCAAUUACUAGCCAUACAAAUGAUAGAUACAUUUUGGUCACCAUACUUCCUUCAUUUAUAUUAUGGCUAUUGAGUAAAUUUUUGCAAACAUUUCAAACCUGUACAUGUACAUGCUGUUUAUGUUCAUAGUACUACAGUUCAGUGACUCAAGUUUAAAAUGCAUAAGCUUAAGGUCAUAACAGAAUUUAAACUUACUAUCAUAUUUGUAUAAACAUCAUGAUGAAUAUUUACAUUCUCUAAAAGAGUUUUAAUUUUACUUAACUAAUACAGAAGAUGAUGGAUUCCCCAACAGAAAUCUUGAUGACGGAUCAAGGUGAAAAAAUUGAAGAAUUGCAUCAAUAGUUACAGAGAAUCGAUUUGCACGCAGAAACAGGUGCUCAAAGAUAAGGGAAUACAACAGCCAUCCAUGCUCCUUCCAUGUAAAGUAAGCAGCUUUCCCUGAUGCUUAUAGGCAUACACGAUCUAGUCUGGGCAUGUAAAACAGCAGCUGGUUCUAUUUUGAAAAUCUACAAAAUAGAGCUAAGGUCCUUUAAGCCAGGAAACUGCUAGUAUCUGAAGAGGACAAUUUAAGACAGGCCAUGAAAAUUGAUUAAAUGUCAAGUGGGAACAGUGAUUUUGUAAAUAAACUCGCCUGAUCACAAAACUUCAGGUUUGACUGUCACAAGAUUUUAAAUCUUACAUGGAUAGACUAAAGUCAUUUACUAGACUGUAAAUACUAGAGACAGCUGAAUGCACAAGGCAAAAAGCUGAGGUCUAAGUGAAUCAGAGAGGCCUUGUCACAAGAAAUGUACAGAACUUGCAUGUUUUUUUUUCCUUAAGGGCAUAUGACAAAAAAAUUGAGAGAUGUCAAUGAAAAUUUCUUUGAAUUUAAAAAAGGGCCAAUUCAAAGGUACACUUUUGGAAUUUGCAAGAACAAAAAUACCUUCAUGUUUACUUUUGAAUUAUAGUUGACAAUCUUCACUUUGAGGGGAACCUCUGAAAAUAAGUCAAAUGGAGGGGUUUGCCAGGUUUAUUGAAAACGAUUAUUUUUUAAAGUAAAACAGAUGAAUUAUUGCUCUUUAAUUUCAACAUUUGCAUUUUACUAUAAAUAUUAUUUACAAGUGCAGCAUAUCGGUGACAUCAGAUUAUGGUAUUGUGUUUGGUUAAGCUACAUAUUUCUUUUUACAUAAACUUUCUGUUGCCUUUACUGGUUAAUAAAAUGCUGAAUAAUAAUUUGAGUGUGGCUCAUUUCAGUGUCUAGUAUUUACUGUCAAUUUUUGUGAUGAUUUUACCAUAUUAUUUAUAAUGGCUUGGCCAAAGGGAGAUAACUUUUUAUAUUUUCACACUAAAAUGCUGAAUAAUAAUUUGAGUGUGGCUCAUUUCAGUGUCCAGUAUUUGCUGUCAAUUUUUGUGAUGAUUUUACCAUAUCAUUUAUAAUGGCUUGGCCAAAGGGAGAUAACUUUUUUAUAUUUUCACAUUAAAAUGCUGAAUAAUAAUUUGAGUGUGGCUCAUUUCAGUGUCUAGUAUUUGCUGUCACUUUUUUCCUGUAAAAUUUCACCAUAUUAUUUAUAAUCGCUUGGUCAAAGGGAGAUAACUUUUUAUAUUUUCACAUUAAAUCAUCUGCGAAGAGGAUUAUGUAAAAUGUGAAUUUUAUGGUUCAAUAAAAGCAAAAUAAGUUACUGCCAUUCAUUAUCAAUCAAUUUCAAUAAAAAAUAAGGCUCAAAGAACUUUUUAUAUUACUUAUAUUAACAAUAACAAUGUACACAUGUGUUGACGUGUUAAUACACAACAUCAGAGUGGGUGUGUCACCAUAAAAUGUAAACAUUGUAAAUAAAACUGAUACUUUUAACUAAUCAGGAAACAGUUAAUACACCACAUAUAUUUUUAAACCUAUAAACUUAUUAUUUUCUUCAAUUGUUUAAGUUCAUUCAGUAUUGAUAAAUUUUUGAUUGACAUUACAUAAUUUUGUUAAUAAAAGUUUAUUUGUGUGCUAUUUUAUUUAAUUGUACAUAUUUGAAAUAUAACAUUACACCUUAUUAUUUUUAUUCUUGCAUACAGCACUUGGAAUGAAAUCUCAUACCAUUUUAAUUAAAAUGUUCCAGCAGCAGGAUUGUUUUUGAAUUAAGCAAUUAUGUUAAUUAUGUAAAUAACGUAGUUUUUUGUUUUUUGCUUUUUGAAGAUUUUAAAUUUGACAAAUAAUGCUAGCAAGGGACAUUAUUAUUAUUAUUUUUUUUAUGAUGCCAAACUUGAAAUUUUAAAGUGGCUAUGUUUGCUAUUUGUUAUAACCCUAUUGUUAUGAUUCUUAAACCAUCUAUACAAGUAAGCAUUUUGAUUUGUCACUUACCAUUAUUUUAUUGAUUAGUUUGAAUUUGAUGAGGUUCUUCGAUGUAGAACUGGACUUAUUUAAACAAAAAAUGUUUUUUUUUUAAUUGUUUGAUAGUAAAAUUGUAUUUCAAACAUUUGACAUUUUAUUUAAUUUAUCAUCAAAACAACUCUUAUUUGUCAGUAUCUGAAUAAAAUUAAUUUGUUA